GUUGAACGCUGGCGGCAGGCCUAACACAUGCAAGUCGAGCGGAUGAAGGGAGCUUGUUCCUGGAUUCAGCGGCCGACGGGUGAGUAAUGCCUAGGAAUCUGCCUUGUAUUGGGGGAUAACGUCCGUAAACGGGCGCUAAUCCCUCAUACGUUCUGAUGUAGAAAGUCAUGGAUCUUUGGACCUCACGCUUUCUGAUGAGCCUAGGUCGGAUUAGCUAGUUGGUUAGGUAAAGGCCUACCAAGGCGACGAUCCGUAACUGGUCUGAGAGGAUGAUCAGUCACACUGGAAAUGAGACACGGUCCAGACUCCUACGGGAGGCAGCAGUGGGGAAUAUUGAACAAUGGGCGAAAGCCUGACCGAGAAACGCCGCGUGAGUGAAGAAGGUCUUCGGAUCGUAAAGCACUGUUAGUAGGGAGGAAGAAAAGUAAAAGAAAAUCUGGAAGUAUUGACGUUACCAAAAGAGUAAGCAACGGCUAACUACGUG
rnacentral:rRNA from 1 species